AAAAGAUGAACUAUUAAGUUUUAUCGAUAAUUAUUCGCAGAAAUUUCUUCCAAGAAAUGACUAUCGAGAAUUUUUGGAGUUAUCAUCUAUUUUCUUGGGAGCUACGCCAAAGGAUAAUUACACUUUUAAAUGUCCGGGAGCAAUGAGUCAUGCUCGUUGGAUGUCGAAGGCGAUUUAUUGUUUGAAAAUAUUUAUUUUUCGAACAGAGUUUAAGAUUACACCUAAAGAGUUAAAUAAUCUUCGUCAUAUUUGUAUUUUCAUAGUUACAACUUAUAUAAAAGCUUGGUUUACUUCAUCCUCGGCAAUUUUGGCUCCAAAUAAUGAUUUGACUUUGAUGCAACAAUUGAUAUUAUAU